CGGUACAAAGGGCAGCGACACAGCGAUGUGAAGCGAAUCCCGAAAAGCCGGUCUCAGUCCGGAUUGGAGUCUGCAACUCGACUCCAUGAAGUUGGAAUCGCUAGUAAUCGCGGAUCAGCACGCCGCGGUGAAUACGUUCCCGGGCCUU
rnacentral:rRNA from 1 species